rnacentral:rRNA from 1 species
GACGAACGCUGGCGGCGUGCUUAACACAUGCAAGUCGAACGGAAAGGCCCUGCUUUUGUGGGGUGCUCGAGUGGCGAACGGGUGAGUAACACGUGAGUAACCUGCCCUUGACUUUGGGAUAACUUCAGGAAACUGGGGCUCAUACCGGAUAGGAGCUCCUGCUGCAUGGUGUGGGUUGGAAAGUUUCGGCGGUUGGGGAUGGACUCGCGGCUUAUCAGCUUGUUGGUGUGGUAGUGGCUUACCAAGGCUUUGACGGGUAGCCGGCCUGAGAGGGUGACCGGCCACAUGGGGACUAAGAUACGGCCCAGACGCCUACGGGAGGCAGCAGUGGAGAGUAUUGCACAAUGAGCCGAAGCCUGAUGCAGCAACGCCGGGUGCGGGAUGACGGCCUUCGGGUGGUAAACCGAUUUCGCCUGUGACGAAGCGUGAGUGACGGUAAUGGGUAAAGAAGCACCGGCUAACUACGUG